GACGAACGCUGGCGGCGUGCUUAACACAUGCAAGUCGAACGGAAAGGCCCUGCUUUUGUGGGGUGCUCGAGUGGCGAACGGGUGAGUAACACGUGAGUAACCUGCCCUUGACUUUGGGAUAACUUCAGGAAACUGGGGCUAAUACCGGAUAGGAGCUCCUGCUGCAUGGUGGGGGUUGGAAAGAUUCGGCGGUUGGGGAUGGACUCGCGGCUUAUCAGCUUGUUGGUGGGGUAGUGGCUUACCAAGGCUUUGACGGGUAGCCGGCCUGAGAGGGUGACCGGCCACAUUGGGACUGCGAUACGGACCAGAAUCCUACGGGAGGCAGCAGUGGGGAAUAUUGCACAGUGGGCGGAAGCCUGAUGCAGCAACGCCGCGUGCGGGAUGACGGCCUUCGGGUUGUAAACCGCUUUCGCCUGUGACGAAGCGUGAGUGACGGUAAUGGGUAAAGAAGCACCGGCUAACUACGUG
rnacentral:rRNA from 1 species